CAUGGCUCAGGACGAACGCUGGCGGCGUGCUUAACACAUGCAAGUCGAACGAUGAAGCCCUUCGGGGUGGAUUAGUGGCGAACGGGUGAGUAACACGUGGGCAAUCUGCCCUUCACUCUGGGACAAGCCCUGGAAACGGGGUCUAAUACCGGAUAACACUCUGUCCCGCAUGGGACGGGGUUGAAAGCUCCGGCGGUGAAGGAUGAGCCCGCGGCCUAUCAGCUUGUUGGUGGGGUGAUGGCCUACCAAGGCGACGACGGGUAGCCGGCCUGAGAGGGCGACCGGCCACACUGGGACUGAGACACGGCCCAGACUCCUACGGGAGGCAGCAGUGGGGAAUAUUGCACAAUGGGCGAAAGCCUGAUGCAGCGACGCCGCGUGAGGGAUGACGGCCUUCGGGUUGUAAACCUCUUUCAGCAG
rnacentral:rRNA from 1 species